CGUGCCUAAUACAUAGCAAGUCGAACGGUCUUUCUAUGGAAGCUUGCUUCCACUGAGAAGAUAGUGGCGAACGGGUGAGUAACACGUGGGUAACCUGCCCAUAAGAGGGGGAUAACAUCCGGAAACGGGUGCUAAUACCGCAUAGUUUUCUUGAUUGCAUGAUUGAGAAAGGAAAGACGGCCUUUGUGCUGUCGCUUAUGGAUGGACCCGCGGCGUAUUAGUUAGUUGGUGAGGUAACGGCUCACCAAGACGAUGAUACGUAGCCGACCUGAGAGGGUGAUCGGCCACAUUGGGACUGAGACACGGCCCAAACUCCUACGGGAGGCAGCAGUAGGGAAUCUUCCGCAAUGGACGAAAGUCUGACGGAGCAACGCCGCGUGAGUGAAGAAAAGGUUUUCGGAUCGUAAAACUCUGUUGUCAGAGAAGAACAAGUUGGAGAGUAACUGCUCCAGCCUUGACGGUAUCUGACCAGAAAGCCACGGCUAACUACGUGCCAGCAGCCGC
rnacentral:rRNA from 1 species